AGCCAAGCCCAGUCAGGAAGAAAAGGUCCUGGAGGCUGGAACUCGAAAGCUCGAGCCCAGCGCCGACCGCUUCCGCCACGUCCUCCCAUGGCGACCGCUCUCCCCGCCACCGCUGCUCCUUGCCGCCUCCCGCUCUCCCAGCGCCGUCCCCCUGGAACAACUCCACUGCCCUCCCUGCUUCGAGCUCCCACUUUCCGCUGCUAUAGUGGCUCCAGCGUGGCUUGUUCAUGUUCGCCCAGGCCCCCGCCCGCGGUUCCUGCGGAGCAAAGGGGCGGCGGCGCUGGCCAGGCCACUUCGCCAGAGGGCACCGUAAGAAUCAUCGCCGUGGUUGGACAAGGUACCAUAAGCCCAAUUAAGGAUACGCCCUGGGAAGAAGUCAUGCGACAUACGGCUGAUAGGCUGAAGUGGGUCGAUGAGGGAUUUGAAAUGCUUGUCUUCACAGACAACUCAAUUGAGCAUGAUAAUCUUAGGAAAGAGUUAUCAUGCUGUGAUAUGCUGGUCAAUGUUGCAAUAACAAAUCAGGAUUCUGUUCAAUGUCUUAUAAACAACAGCAAAGACAUUUCUAAUGUAAUUUGCUUUCAGUCAUCUCCAUCUUUAUUAAACAAGCUAGGUGGCACAUAUGUUCAAUACACUGGAGAGGAGGACAUGUUUGGCAAGCUAGCAAGUAUUGGAAAACCAAGUGUCACAAAGGAAUCAGCUGAAGUUCUUAAGACCAUAUCUAAUGCCUGGGAAAGACACAAUUCAGAUGACAUUAGAUUUUGCUUGCUUGUUGUCGUAAAUGCAUACAUAAGGCCAGUUGCGAUGCUGAAAAACCUAAGGGCAAAAGGCCUUUCUACUCUAAGUUGUAUGAUAAAGAACUGUGGUCCACAGAUACUUAAUUGUCUGUUUGAUCCUAGCUGUAGGAAGGCCCUUCAGUGUUUGAAUUCCUGCUCUCCAACUGAUCAAGUCUGCAACUAUCGCUGUAUCGCAUCAUAUGAAAGUCCGUAUUUGGAGGCUUUUUCUCUCUGUGUUUUGCAGAAGAACAAUUGUCUUGACCUCAAUGCUGAGAUACCCAAUAAACCGAAUGUAAUACCACUGACCAUGUUCAGAGAACGAAAACUAAGCCAUGAAAUCGCAGAAGACCUAUUUGUUGGUUGGCUGGACAGCAUGGAAUGGAGUUGGAGAGUCGCGGCUGGACAGAAUCCAGCAUAUGAUCAAUUCCCAUGUCAGUAUCAGUUGUUCUACAGAGGGAAAGCUAAAGGUUCCUUUUGGUAUGAGCCGGUUUUUCAGGUCAAAACCCUGGAAGAGAAGCUGGUCUGGAGGCGCAGAAGGUACCGUGUGAGAAGAGCUAGCACUCCUGGUACAUUUUACUUCAGUGUGUUGGAUAAUGGUGUCGUUUCCAAAGAAUUUUGGACAAUUGUGGAUGUUGCGGAGGAUUUCAGCUGGGGUCUGUUCCAUUAUCAUGGUGCAGCACAGGCUGCUGGGCUAUCAUACACUGGAGCGGUGCUUGUUACCCCAGAUGGGUCUUAUCCUGAUGUGGACAAUCCAAGAUUGGCCUCUGCUUUAGAGAAAUGUGGUAUAAAGAAAUGGGAGCUCUAUAUGGUUGAUAAUAGUUGCUGCAUGGGUGCGCCGCUGGGAAUUCCUGAAGGUUCGAAGCUGCAUCAUCAGAUUUCUCCAGGAAAAGAAACUGGUGUUUUGCAGAGAAGGUGAUGAUCUGUUCAAAUAAGAAAGGAUCCAUUUCAUAACCACAUGAUUGUCUUACUAAAGAUGCCUCAUGCCCGUAACCUGCUGACAAGUGGACAGAUAUUGCUUAAGAGAAGUUCAUGUGUGACUUCAAGCCUUGUAUAUAUUUACAGCAACAGAUGACACUAGUUACGACCUGCAAUGUUGAGCAGGCAUCUUCAUCACCUAUGUAGAGAUGCUAUACUUUUGCAAGAUCGAAAGUGUUUUCCUGCCAUAGAACUCGAGAAUUCUGAUUUUGCUGGCAUGAAGUUAAGUUGGUAUUUAGCAAUCUUUGGUUGAGCACUUGUAUUACAGGAUUUGAAGUUACACCUGAUGUAGUGAUAUUCUUAUCUUCGUUGAUGAGAACUAGAGUUUGUUGAAAGUAAUAUGUAUGACGGCAUGGCUGUGACCGUGACCAUGUACCACGGCUGUGACCGUGCGGUGUUAGUUGGUUAGCCUCAGAUCAGAUAGAUUAGAGUUUGUUUAGAUUGAUAAGAGCUACCAACAACCUGUCACCAUGUUGUGUACUCUCUAAGGCACUUUGCCUAUAUAUUAACACACAAUCGUGGUGAGCCAAGAUAGGCAACCAUGUUCCCA